UACGGAGGGUGCAAGCGUUAUCCGGAUUCACUGGGUUUAAAGGGUGCGUAGGUGGGCUGGUAAGUCAGUGGUGAAAUCUCCAGGCUUAACUUGGAAACUGCCAUUGAUACUAUUAAUCUUGAAUACCGUGGAGGUCAGCGGAAUAUGUCAUGUAGCGGUGAAAUGCUUAGAUAUGACAUAGAACACCAAUUGCGAAGGCAGCUGGCUACACGAAUAUUGACACUGAUGCACGAAAGCGUGGGGAUCAAACAGG
rnacentral:rRNA from 1 species